GGGGGUGUAGCUCAGUGGUAGAGCACUUACCCAGCAUGUGUAAGACCUGGAUUCCAUCCCCAGCACCACCG
rnacentral:tRNA from 1 species